rnacentral:rRNA from 1 species
UGUGAGCUCGAUGAGUAGGGCGGGACACGUGGUAUCCUGUCUGAAUAUGGGGGGACCAUCCUCCAAGGCUAAAUACUCCUGACUGACCGAUAGUGAACCAGUACCGUGAGGGAAAGGCGAAAAGAACCCCGGCGAGGGGAGUGAAAAAGAACCUGAAACCGUGUACGUACAAGCAGUGGGAGCACGCUUAGGCGUGUGACUGCGUACCUUUUGUAUAAUGGGUCAGCGACUUAUAUUCUGUAGCAAGGUUAACCGAAUAGGGGAGCCGAAGGGAAACCGAGUCUUAACUGGGCGUUAAGUUGCAGGGUAUAGACCCGAAACCCGGUGAUCUAGCCAUGGGCAGGUUGAAGGUUGGGUAACACUAACUGGAGGACCGAACCGACUAAUGUUGAAAAAUUAGCGGAUGACUUGUGGCUGGGGGUGAAAGGCCAAUCAAACCGGGAGAUAGCUGGUUCUCCCCGAAAGCUAUUUAGGUAGCGCCUCGUGAAUUCAUCUCCGGGGGUAGAGCACUGUUUCGGCAAGGGGGUCAUCCCGACUUACCAACCCGAUGCAAACUGCGAAUACCGGAGAAUGUUAUCACGGGAGACACACGGCGGGUGCUAACGUCCGUCGUGAAGAGGGAAACAACCCAGACCGCCAGCUAAGGUCCCAAAGUCAUGGUUAAGUGGGAAACGAUGUGGGAAGGCCCAGACAGCCAGGAUGUUGGCUUAGAAGCAGCCAUCAUUUAAAGAAAGCGUAAUAGCUCACUGGUCGAGUCGGCCUGCGCGGAAGAUGUAACGGGGCUAAACCAUGCACCGAAGCUGCGGCAGCGACGCUUAUGCGUUGUUGGGUAGGGGAGCGUUCUGUAAGCCUGUGAAGGUGUGCUGUGAGGCAUGCUGGAGGUAUCAGAAGUGCGAAUGCUGACAUAAGUAACGAUAAAGCGGGUGAAAAGCCCGCUCGCCGGAAGACCAAGGGUUCCUGUCCAACGUUAAUCGGGGCAGGGUGAGUCGACCCCUAAGGCGAGGCCGAAAGGCGUAGUCGAUGGGAAACAGGUUAAUAUUCCUGUACUUGGUGUUACUGCGAAGGGGGGACGGAGAAGGCUAUGUUGGCCGGGCGACGGUUGUCCCGGUUUAAGCGUGUAGGCUGGUUUUCCAGGCAAAUCCGGAAAAUCAAGGCUGAGGCGUGAUGACGAGGCACUACGGUGCUGAAGYAACAAAUGCCCUGCUUCCAGGAAAAGCCUCUAAGCAUCAGGUAACAUCAAAUCGUACCCCAAACCGACACAGGUGGUCAGGUAGAGAAUACCAAGGCGCUUGAGAGAACUCGGGUGAAGGAACUAGGCAAAAUGGUGCCGUAACUUCGGGAGAAGGCACGCUGAUAUGUAGGUGAAGYSMCUUGCKSRUGGAGCUGAAAUCAGUCGAAGAUACCAGCUGGCUGCAACUGUUUAUUAAAAACACAGCACUGUGCAAACACGAAAGUGGACGUAUACGGUGUGACGCCUGCCCGGUGCCGGAAGGUUAAUUGAUGGGGUCAGCGCAAGCGAAGCUCUUGAUCGAAGCCCCGGUAAACGGCGGCCGUAACUAUAACGGUCCUAAGGUAGCGAAAUUCCUUGUCGGGUAAGUUCCGACCUGCACGAAUGGCGUAAUGAUGGCCAGGCUGUCUCCACCCGAGACUCAGUGAAAUUGAACUCGCUGUGAAGAUGCAGUGUACCCGCGGCAAGACGGAAAGACCCCGUGAACCUUUACUAUAGCUUGACACUGAACAUUGAGCCUUGAUGUGUAGGAUAGGUGGGAGGCUUKGAAGUGUGGACGCCAGUCUGCAUGGAGCCGACCUUGAAAUACCACCCUUUAAUGUUUGAUGUUCUAACGUUGACCCGUAAUCCGGGUUGCGGACAGUGUCUGGUGGGUAGUUUGACUGGGGCGGUCUCCUCCUAAAGAGUAACGGAGGAGCACGAAGGUUGGCUAAUCCUGGUCGGACAUCAGGAGGUUAGUGCAAUGGCAUAAGCCAGCUUGACUGCGAGCGUGACGGCGCGAGCAGGUGCGAAAGCAGGUCAUAGUGAUCCGGUGGUUCUGAAUGGAAGGGCCAUCGCUCAACGGAUAAAAGGUACUCCGGGGAUAACAGGCUGAUACCGCCCAAGAGUUCAUAUCGACGGCGGUGUUUGGCACCUCGAUGUCGGCUCAUCACAUCCUGGGGCUGAAGUAGGUCCCAAGGGUAUGGCUGUUCGCCAUUUAAAGUGGUACGCGAGCUGGGUUUAGAACGUCGUGAGACAGUUCGGUCCCUAUCUGCCGUGGGCGCUGGAGAACUGAGGGGGGCUGCUCCUAGUACGAGAGGACCGGAGUGGACGCAUCACUGGUGUUCGGGUUGUCAUGCCAAUGGCACUGCCCGGUAGCUAAAUGCGGAAGAGAUAAGUGCUGAAAGCAUCUAAGCACGAAACUUGCCCCGAGAUGAGUUCUCCCUGACUCCUUGAGAGUCCUGAAGGAACGUUGAAGACGACGACGUUGAUAGGCCGGGUGUGUAAGCGCAGCGAUGCGUUGAGCUAACCGGUACUAAUGAACCGUGAGGCUUAACCUUACAACGCCGAAG